UGCAAGUCGAGCGGAUGAGAGGAGCUUGCUCCUGGAUUCAGCGGCGGACGGGUGAGUAAUGCCUAGGAAUCUGCCUGGUAGUGGGGGACAACGUUUCGAAAGGAACGCUAAUACCGCAUACGUCCUACGGGAGAAAGCAGGGGACCUUCGGGCCUUGCGCUAUCAGAUGAGCCUAGGUCGGAUUAGCUAGUUGGUGAGGUAAUGGCUCACCAAGGCGACGAUCCGUAACUGGUCUGAGAGGAUGAUCAGUCACACUGGAACUGAGACACGGUCCAGACUCCUACGGGAGGCAGCAGUGGGGAAUAUUGGACAAUGGGCGAAAGCCUGAUCCAGCCAUGCCGCGUGUGUGAAGAAGGUCUUCGGAUUGUAAAGCACUUUAAGUUGGGAGGAAGGGUUGUAGAUUAAUACUCUGCAAUUUUGACGUUACCGACAGAAUAAGCACCGGCUAACUCUGUGCCAGCAGCCGCGGUAAUACAGAGGGUGCAAGCGUUAAUCGGAAUUACUGGGCGUAAAGCGCGCGUAGGUGGUUUGUUAAGUUGGAUGUGAAAUCCCCGGGCUCAACCUGGGAACUGCAUCCAAAACUGGCAAGCUAGAGUAUGGUAGAGGGUGGUGGAAUUUCCUGUGUAGCGGUGAAAUGCGUAGAUAUAGGAAGGAACACCAGUGGCGAAGGCGACCACCUGGACUGAUACUGACACUGAGGUGCGAAAGCGUGGGGAGCAAACAGGAUUAGAUACCCUGGUAGUCCACGCCGUAAACGAUGUCAACUAGCCGUUGGGAGCCUUGAGCUCUUAGUGGCGCAGCUAACGCAUUAAGUUGACCGCCUGGGGAGUACGGCCGCAAGGUUAAAACUCAAAUGAAUUGACGGGGGCCCGCACAAGCGGUGGAGCAUGU
rnacentral:rRNA from 1 species